CACUGCACCAGAAAAUGUAUAAAGCCACACCAAUUGGCAUUGUAUUCAUUACAAUCAAUGAAAAUAUCUUCUCUUCUCUUCUUCCUAAUUUUCUUUCAAUUGCCAUGAAAUCCUAGACCUAAAACUAUCAACAAAGAAGCUUAGCUUCACCGUUUUAGAUUCAAUAAAUCAAAUCUAACAUUGUAUCAGAGUGGGAAGACUAGACCGCAUCAAUUUCUAAAUAAAAUUUGUUUUUCUCUGUUUCAAGAUAUUGCAAUUUUUUACGCAAUUUUUUGUUUGAUCACAAUCGCAAUUCUUUUUCAAAUUGAAGCUCAGAUAUGGCAGAAUUAACAGUAACAACUCUCGAACAUAAUCACCCACUAUACUUACAACAAUCGGAUACACCUGGUGUAGCAUUAAUCGGUAUAAAACUCACAGGUGGUUAAUGAGGCUUGCAUUAAUGGUGAAGAACAAAUACUGUUUUGUUGAUGAAACUUGUUUGAGAAGUUCGUACAAAGGUGAAUUGGAAACUCAAUGAGAGAGAUGUGAUGAUGUGGUUUUGUCAUGGAUUAGCAGCAUUGUAGCACCAAGAUUAGUUACGACUAUAUUCUAUGCUCCAAAUGCAAACAUGUUUGGGAUGAUUUCAAGGAACGUUUCAACAAGUCAAAUUUGACAAGAAUUUAUCAGAUUUGCACUGAAGUAGCAUGCCUAAGGCAAGGGAAUUGCGAGUACAAUAAGAGUGAAUAGAGCUUUGUGAACCUAGGCAUCGAGUGGGGUCUCUCCUGAUCAAAGAGACCUAAUCUUGCAACAAUGUGGCUAUGUUAAAGGAUUUUCUCUUGGACAACCAAAAAACUUUUGUAUGCUGGCAGACUUCAAUGGGUGCAAACUGUCAUUUUGGUAUCCAAUCUUAUUGGACACAAUUAUUUGUGUUACCAGGCAAAGUCUACAAAUGCAUUGAUGCUUACUGUAGAAGUUAUGUCAGGCCGGGUGGUAAUCUGAUCACUAGAAAGGCCCUUGUAGCUUGGGAUAGACUGUAUAGUUCCAAAUCUUGUGGUGGACUUAAUCUUAUCUACCUAAAUUUGUGGAAUAGAG